GACGAACGCUGGCGGCGCGCCUAACACAUGCAAGUCGAACGAGCGAGAGAGAGCUUGCUUUCUCGAGCGAGUGGCGAACGGGUGAGUAACGCGUGAGGAACCUGCCUCAAAGAGGGGGACAACAGUUGGAAACGACUGCUAAUACCGCAUAAGCCCACGACCCGGCAUCGGGUCGAGGGAAAAGGAGCAAUCCGCUUUGAGAUGGCCUCGCGUCCGAUUAGCUAGUUGGUGAGGUAACGGCCCACCAAGGCGACGAUCGGUAGCCGGACUGAGAGGUUGAACGGCCACAUUGGGACUGAGACACGGCCCAGACUCCUACGGGAGGCAGCAGUGGGGAAUACUGCACAAUGGGGGAAACCCUGAUGCAGCGACGCCGCGUGGAGGAAGAAGGUCUUCGGAUUGUAAACUCCUGUUGUUGAGGAAGAUAAUGACGGUACUCAACAAGGAAGUGACGGCUAACUACGUG
rnacentral:rRNA from 1 species